rnacentral:sRNA from 1 species
CAAUCCAUUCUGCUGAGAGUGUGAGUACCGGGAAAGCAUGGCAUUGGGCUUGAAGGAUGAGGAGUUUGCUAGACACAGAGGAUGAGGAGAGCAGCCCUGCAGUAAACUUCCAGCCACCUGAAUGAAAUUCACCUAAUUUAACAAACUGCACGAGAAGCAAAGCAACUCCCAGAGCACACACAGCAAACAACGUUCUAAGAAUUUUACAUGUAUUGACUUAUGGAAGCCUGACAACAUCACUGUGAUGUAAGUGCUAUUGUUAUUUACAUUUUAUGGAUGAGGACAAGGAGACACUGAACAAAGUAUUUGCCCUGGAUCACCAGGAUUUGGGCAAAGGUACGCUCUUAGACCUUUUUCCCUGCCUUAUGCCCAUUACAAGGUACCUUGAAUGAAAAAAUACACAAGAACAUUGCAUGGA